rnacentral:misc_RNA from 1 species
UUUUUUUUUUUUUUUUAAAUUUUCCACCAUUCUAGACUGCAUUCCUGACCUAGAAUAAUCCCACAAAAGGCUCAACUAAAACUUCCAAAAUAAAUUGCAGUUUAAAUUUAGAGUCUGAUAUCAAAACUUUUGAUCUCUCUGAAAAUCUCUUAUAUUGCGAUGCAAUUAUCAGAAAUUUGACCAAAAUGUCAACAGCAUUAAACAAAUAAUAUAAGGCAUAUGGCAUGGUUAUAUCAUGGCUUCUAUUUUAAAUUGAAUUUGAAUAAAUGCUAAAGAUUUAAAUGUUACCU